rnacentral:tRNA from 1 species
GGGGGCGUAGCUCAGUUUGGUAGAGCAACGGCUUUUUAAGCCGUGGGUCGUGGGUUCGAUUCCCUCCGCCCUCA